rnacentral:pre_miRNA from 1 species
UUAACUCAUAUUUGUAUGGAAUGAGAUCGUUUGCCUAUGUUUGCCGUUAGGGGCGCUGUUCCAACUGCAUACAAAAUUGGGUUA